CAUUUUUGUAUUUAAUCCAAAAAGAAAUAAACAUAAAAUUGGCUCCGCCACUGCGGCGCACUUGAAGUCUCAGGCUUUACACCUCACAGUGGAGAAUUGCAAUGGAGGUUGAGUCUCAGAGGACGAAACCUGUUGCUGUUUUCAUGGCCUUCGGUACCAAAGGCGAUGUCUACCCAAUUGCUGCCAUUGCUGUGGCUUUUGCUUGUGACCAGAGACAAUACGACGUCGUUCUAAUCACGCAUUCAGCUCAUGAGAACUUAAGGUGUCACUUGGCUGAACAACAUGUUUCAUAUCGUCCAAUUUCGUCACCACCUGUUCUCUCUAUCCAUCAGAUACAUGAUCCUACCGGCUCUGUGGAGUUGCCAUUUUCACUGCAGAAAAGGAUGUUUUCUAGCGAACACAGACAAGAAUGUUAUUUGGUAGUUGAAUCCAUAUUUGGAUCUGGCCCAAGCAUGGAGGGUGAUUUUAUUGUGAUAAAUUUCUUUGCUUUGGAAGGCUGGAGUUUUGCGGAACUUUUUCGUGUCCGUUGCAUGGUUGCUGCACCUUAUGUCGUUCCAUACAGUGCACCUUCAUCAUUUGAGCGCCACUUUAAAAAGGAACUUCCACUUUUGUAUAAAUACCUUAAGGAAGCUGACAUCAGCAAGGUUUGUUGGAAAGAUGUGAUUCACUGGAUGUGGCCACUUUUCACUGAAUAUUGGGGAUCCUGGAGGUGUGACAAUUUGAAUAUGAGUCCUUGCCCUUUUACAGAUCCAGUAACAGGUCUACCCACUUGGCACGAUAGGCCUCCAUCUCCCCUUCUUUUGUAUGGAUUUAGCAAAGAAGUUGUUGAGUGCCCUGGUUAUUGGCCAUCAAAAGUUCGGGUUUGUGGCUUUUGGUUUCUCCCCAAUGAAUGGCAGUUUUCAUGUAAGCAGUGCUGUGAAAUUUCAAGGAUUGUUUCUUCAGGGCAUCUUUACACAAAAGAUGAACUGUGUUCAGCCCAUGUUCACUUAGAUUAUUUUCUGAAGACUCCGAUGCCUAUGCCACCUGUUUUCAUUGGCCUAAGCUCUAUUGGUAGCAUGGGAUUUUUAAAAAACCCUCAAGCUUUUCUUCGACUUCUCCAAACGGUCAUGGAGAUAACAGGUUACCGCUUUAUCCUCUUUACAGCGGGCUACAUGCCUUUAGAUACCGCAAUCCGAGCGAUUGUUGCUGAAUCAUCAUCAUAUGUGAUGCACAAACAGUUUAAUGACGAGUGCCUUUCUCUCUUCAAUGAUCGACUCUUCUGCUUUUCUGGUACCAUACCAUACAAGUGGCUGUUUACUCGAUGUGCGGCUGCAAUUCAUCAUGGGGGAAGUAGUGGCACUACUGCUGCAGCACUACUUGCAGGAAUCCCACAGAUGGCAGGUAGUAUGCCCAUUUCUGCUAGAUCAGUUUUAUUGGGCUGAAAGAAUGUUCUGGCUUGGAGUAGCACCAGAACCAUUGAAAAGAAGCCACUUACUUCCAGAAGAAAGUGAUGAAAAAAUAAUCCAAGGAGCAGCGAAUUUGCUAUCCAGGGUCAUACAUGAUGCAUUAUCUCCCAAAAUUAGAGAACACGCUGUAGAAAUUUCUAAGAGAAUAUCUCUUGAGGAUGGAGUCUCCAAUGCUGUUCAAUAUAUCAAGGAAGAGAUUGGUUGUUCAAGCUGAUUAUUUGGAAUCUGUUUCAUUGACAUUCAACAUGGUUUUCGGCAAUGCAGACAGUCCAGAUUCUGAAAAUGGCUGUUUGGAGGGCGGCAUGUGCACGAUUGGGACAGUCUGCUUUAGAGAAUUGUUCUUUUGUAAAAAGACUCUUCUAAUCUAAAUGGGAUGGAUUAGAUGCAAAAUAUUACUAGCAAUGUCUUGCUUUUGCAGAAAGAAAGCUUGUCCUAUUUAGUAAUCGAGCAUGAGACAAGAAAAAUCAAUUGAUUUAGAGAACCUUCUUUGUCAACUUAAAAGAGCCUGCGAGGUGAAAUGGUCAUUUCCAACAUACUUUUGACUCCUUAUGCCAAUAUGUCGUUUCAGUAA